CCGCUGCCUGCCCAGCCCCUGGCAUGCAGCGCUCCUGCUUGCCCCGCUGGCAGCGCAGCCGUCCCGCAGCCCCCGGCCCCACGGCCAUGGCGCUCCAUCGCCAAGACGGCCCGGCGGGCUCUGCGCCGGCUCUUCUCCUUCAGCUGCCUCAGGGGACAGCGAGAGGAUUGAGCCCAGAGCCAGAAGCAGAAUGAUGCCAAAUGAUGCCAGCUCCAAAGGGCAGGUCCAGGAGGCAGUGACACCAAUGGGAGACAAACACUGGGUACACCCCAAUGGAUGGAUGCAUGGUGCUCAAGGCAACUAAUUGCCAAAGCUCCACAAGAACCACUGGAGCCCCCAGCGCGGAAGUGCACAGUGGCUAAGGACCAACAGGAUGCCACUAGAGCCGAGUAUCUUGGACAGUCCACUGUGUGACCUCUUCUCCACAUUACUCCCACUCUUUCCUAGUCCUCCUCAUUUCUGCUCUUCCCCACUGCAGCCUAGCCCAGCCCAACCCAUCCCUGAUAUUCUCCCUCUUUACUUCUCACUCUCUCCUUUCCCAUCCCUACCUCUCUACCCCACAUUUCUUGUUAAAUAAAAUCCCCAUUGUUAACUUU